AAGCGGUGGAGCAUGUGGUUAAUUCGAAGCAACGCGAAGAACCUUACCAGGUCUUGACAUCCCCUGACAACCGAGAGAUCGGGCGUUCCCCUUCGGGGGACAGGGUGACAGGUGGUGCAUGGUUGUCGUCAGCUCGUGUCGUGAGAUGUUGGGUUAAGUCCCGCAACGAGCGCAACCCUUGUCAUUAGUUGCUACAUUCAGUUGGGCACUCUAAUGAGACUGCCGGUGACAAGCCGGAGGAAGGUGGGGAUGACGUCAAGUCCUCAUGGCCCUUAUAGGUGGGGCUACACACGUCAUACAAUGGCUGGUACAAAGGGUUGCCAACCCGCGAGGGGGAGCCAAUCCUAUAAAGCCAGUCGUAGUCCGGAUCGUAGUCUGCAACUCGACUACGUGAAGUCGGAAUCGCUAGUAAUCGUGGAUCAGAAUGUCACGGUGAAUACGUUCCCGGGUCUU
rnacentral:rRNA from 1 species